UACGAAGGGGGCUAGCGUUGUUCGGAAUCACUGGGCGUAAAGCGCACGUAGGCGGGUUGUUAAGUCAGGGGUGAAAUCCUGGAGCUCAACUCCAGAACUGCCUUUGAUACUGGCAACCUAGAGACUGGAAGAGGUUAGUGGAAUUCCCAGUGUAGAGGUGAAAUUCGUAGAUAUUGGGAAGAACACCAGUGGCGAAGGCGGCUAACUGGUCCAGCACUGACGCUGAGGUGCGAAAGCGUGGGGAGCAAACAGG
rnacentral:rRNA from 1 species